rnacentral:rRNA from 1 species
GAUGAACGCUGGCGGCGCGCCUAAUACAUGCAAGUCGAGCGAACAGACGAGGAGCUUGCUCCUCUGACGUUAGCGGCGGACGGGUGAGUAACACGUGGAUAACCUACCUAUAAGACUGGGAUAACUUCGGGAAACCGGAGCUAAUACCGGAUAAUAUAUUGAACCGCAUGGUUCAAUAGUGAAAGACGGUUUUGCUGUCACUUAUAGAUGGAUCCGCGCCGCAUUAGCUAGUUGGUAAGGUAACGGCUUACCAAGGCGACGAUGCGUAGCCGACCUGAGAGAGUGAUCGGCCACACGGGAACUGAGACACGGUCCAGACUCCUACGGGAGGCAGCAGUAGGGAAUCUUCCGCAAUGGGCGAAAGCCUGACGGAGCAACGCCGCGUGAGUGAUGAAGGUCUUCGGAUCGUAAAACUCUGUUAUUAGGGAAGAACAAAUGUGUAAGUAACUAUGCACGUCUUGACGGUACCUAAUCAGAAAGCCACGGCUAACUACGUG